UUACACUUAAACUUUGUGAGGUUGCUUUUAAAGGUCAAGUGAUACGUAGGCUCGGUUGGAACACUUUUUAAGUUUGUUUGAGACUAAGUCUGUUGCACUUACAUGCUUGGUCGGGUUGUGCCAUUUUAGGUCCUCGGUGCUUUUUUUACUCUUUUUUGAACUUUUUAGUCGGUUAUGAGUUGCGAAUUUACACUCAAGCAAUGUUCAGAGGUUUUAAACUCUUUUUAUUUUGGUUUGGAACUAAGUUUGUUGAACUUGCACACUUGGCUGACAUGUUGGGUGUUAGAGUGCUUUUAUCACACUUUUUGGAAUUUUGGUCGGUUGUGAUUUGCGAACUUAUACCAAAUUGGGCUUCAAAUCUUGGCGGGGGCUCAUGUAGACUUCCUACACAAGGUCUCAAUUCAAAGAAGCAUUCUUAACAUCUAGCUGGUAUAGAGGCCAAUCUUUGUUCACAACAACAAAUAGCAAGACUCUAACAGUAUUCAACUUAGCAACUGGAGAAAAGGUUUCUGAAUAGUCAAUAUCAUAGGUCUGAGUAAAUCUUUUUGCAACUAACCUUGCCUUGUGUCUAUCAAGUGUACCAUCUGCUUUGUAUUUGAGAGAAAACACCCAUUUGCAUCCUACAGUUUUAUGUCCUUGGGUAGAGCACAGAUCUCCCAAGUUCUAUUGUUUUCAAGAACCUUCAUCUCUUCCAUAACAACAUUUUUCCAUUCAGGACACUCUAGAGCAGUGUAGAUAUUUUUCGGUAUUAUGGUAGAGUCAAGGCUUGCUGUAAACGCUCUAAACUAUGAAGAGAGAUUAUCAUAGAAAACAUAGUUGCAAAUGGGAUGUUUAGUGCAGGAUCUGGUACCUUUUCUCAAAGCAAUGGGAAUGUCAAGAGAGGGAUCAUACUCAUCAAGUUUUCUUGUAUGACCCUGUUAUGCUUCAUCAUUACUGAUUUCUAUUCUAACCUCAAUGUCAUCACCAUGGUUCUUUUCUUCCAUAUUUUCAAGAACAGCAACAUCAGACUUGUCAUUCUCACUUAUCGUAUUAUUAGUACAAGGUUCUGUAGGGUUUUCCAUACCUUGGUCUCGAGGAGGUUCGAAGUCUUGGACUGGAGCCGGCGGUUGACUAGUAGGGGACCCAACUUCCUUUAUGAGAUUCCUCCUGUAAUAUGUUUUCCAAGGAACUUGGUUUGCAGGUAAGAUUAUGGGAUGAGGAUCAACGUCAGAUACAGUACUAGGAGUAGGUUCAGUAAAUUCGAAAGUGUUGUUAGACUUUUCACUCACACUCUCCCCCUGAAGAUGGCUAACAGGAAAGUAGGGUCGGUUUUCACAGAAAGUAACAUCCAUAGUGACAAAGUAUUUUCUAAACGACGGGUGAAAACAUUUAUACCCGCUUUGGUGAAUGGGAUAUCCAACAAACACACAGGCCUGAGCCCGAGGGGUAAAUUUAGUCUAAUUAGGGCCAAAAUUAUGGACAUAAGUGGUACACCCAAUGUAACGGCCCAACUCCUUAUACUGAGUCGAAGUCAUUACUAAAUAUAGGACAAGUGGUUUAGGACAAAAUUUAGUAAAAACGUAUAAGGUUUUAGAAAUUUAUUUAUGAAAAUCCAACAAGGUAACAUGCAAAAAAAAAAUGAUGUUUCGUUCUAAAGUCCUACUCGGGCCCUAUCUAAAACGAAAUGGUAAAUAGUGAAGAAUACUCAAACUCAGGUACUAAAGUCAAAAACAAGAAUAGGCGGAAGCAGAAAUCCCUAUGGCUUGCCACGGUCAUUUCUGGUCGCUCGCCAGCUUGCCUUUGCCCUUACCUCGUCCUCUACCUGAAAACAUGACAUGAAAAGAGUGAGUACAAAAUACUCAGUAAGGGACCCACUACUAGUCCCACUAGGUGCCUGUUAGCUUCCUGUCAGAGUCCUGUAACUGGUACCCAAUCGCUGGCACGUUCCCGAACACGUGCAACAUGCGCUCCCGUAGGAACGUAACUCUGGUCUUCGGUGCCCCGGGGGACACCUAGGACAAUCGGGAUGCGAGGACCCCGUCGAGUCACUCGAGUCAUAUCUAUAUCCAUGCUAGACUGGUGUCCCGUCGGACCGCACAGUCCUAAAUAGGUGGUGAUCCCGAAGGACACCCAUGCAGGUACGACUCUAACAGGUUAAACUAACAGGUACCCUAAUCGCAGUAUACAUACACAUGGCGUCAUCAUAUAACAUAACAGAUAAAUCAUCAUUACACUCUCCAUCUCGACACCCGUCGUACAGCCAUAACAGUUCUCGUCAUCACAACAUCAUGCUAUAAUAUAACCAUAUCAUCAAUCGCAUCAUACUAUCAUUAAUUUCAUGCAUCGUACAGUCUAGUCCUCGACAUGCACAAUUGAAGGUAUACGUGACCUCAUAAUUCUAAACAUGGAGCUAGUAGUAGAAAUCUCUUACCUGGAGAUUUACUUGGCGAGUUCUAACCGCGAGGCAAGUGUGCUUUCCAAGCAACGAGGUCCUAACUGUUUAAUACGCCAAAAUUCGUAAUUAAGUCACCAACGACUAACGGUUCAAAAUUCAGUUGAAAUGACUUACCCUAGAAAGAGGUUGCAAUGCUAAGCCCCUACUGAAGAAAUCUCACGCUGCAGCAGUUACUUGGUCCAAGACGUCCCUUAAGGAAAAUAAUUUAAUUUAAUUCCAAAUUAAAUUAUUUAGUGUCCAAAGUCAUUGAGUCUUACUGGGUAAUGCCAAAAUAAUUAGUUUAAUUAUCGAAAAUUGGAUGGCAGGAGCCAAAUUAGGCUUGGCGGCUCGGCUGGAAAGAGAACAGGGACCGGCUCGGCUUGGAGGUUGAAGAUCGGCUCGGCUUGCGGCGCAGACUGGCGCGGCUCGUGGUGCAGACAGGCGCGGCUCGGCUUGGUACAGCGUCUACGCACGUGCGGCUCGCACGCGGGCGCUGCUCGGCUCGCGGGUGCACGCGGCUCGGGUUCCGGGUCAGAGGCACGCGGCACGGGCCAGGCUUCGGGUCACGGAGCGGGGCUUCGGUCGGGUCCUCACGCGACGAGGCGCUGGCUUCCGGAUCCGGGUGGCGCGACGGCUGCGGGUGGUCCGGCUACACCACGGCUUCGCUCGGCGACGGCUGCAGACGGACGUUUCGGCUGCGCUGCGUCGGAUCGAAGCGGCGCGACGCGGCUGGAUGACGGAUCGGCUGCGGAUCGCAAAGGGUGACGCGGGCUCGGCUUCAGGCGACGGCUGCGAGAGAUGGCUGCUGCGGCGGACGCUCGGCGUGCGCGGAUCGGCUUGGACGAUUCUUCUGAUGCGGCUGGAAGCUCGGCGACGGCUCGGGUGGACUGCAGACUCGACUGCGCUGCUGAACAGAGAGAGGAAGGCUUGGCGGCUCGGGUUCGUGGCGGCGGCUAGGGUUUUAUGAAUAAAUUUUUUUCUCCCUUUUUCUCUUUUCUUUUCCCCUUUCUUUCUUUGAUUUUUCUCUUCUUCUUUACGCACGAGACCCAAGGCUUUUUAUAAGACAAUAUCUCUUUUCUUUUCCUUUAAAUAACCCAAACCAACCAUCUCCUCUCUCUCUCCAAAUCUCACCAAACUCAACCAACCCUCCUUUCAAUUAGCAAUAACUCAUUAAAUAAUUUCUAAAUACUAAAAUAGGUAACAUAAUAGAAAAAUACUUAAUAAUAAAAAAAGUGGAAAACCCAACUUUAAUAAACCGGAAAAUUCAAAAUGAUAAGGUUCUCCCAAUAAAUUUGUCUUAUCCAAGACCAUACAUAAAUAUUAAUAGUAAGAUGAACAAAAACGAGUUUGUUGGGACGUUACACCCAAACACACGAAGAGGAACCUCAGACACAAGGCGAGUAGAGGGGUAAGACGAUCUAAGGGAGUCUGAAGGGGGAGUAUACGAGAAGGCAUUCUAUUGAUUAAGUGAGUGGCUGUAAGAAUAACAUCUCCCCACAGGUAUGAUGGAAGGGAAGUGGAAAGCAUAAGGGAGCGAGCUACUUCCACAAGGUGACGGUUUUUUUUGUUCGACCACUCCAUUUUGUUGAGGAGUGUAGGCACAUGAGGUUUGGUGAGCAAUCCCUUUGGAGGUUAGAAAUUCACUAAGGUUAUGGUUUUGGAAUUCCCGACCAUUAUCACUUCGAAGAAUUGCAAUUUUUUAUGAAAUUAUGUUUCAAUAGUACGAUAGAAGUUUUGGAAAAUGGACGAAACCUCGGAUUUAUCUGUUAUUAGGUAGACCCAGGUAAGACGAGUAUGGUCAUCGAUGAAAGUUACAAACCACCGCUUUCCCGAUGAGGUGGUGACCUUGGAAGGACCCCAAACGUCACUAUGGAUGAGGGUAGACGGUUGUGUAGGUUUAUAUGGUUGUGAGGGAAAAGAGACCCGAUGUUGUUUAGCCCGGAUACACAUAUCGCAAGAUAGAGAAGAGACAUCAAGUUUAGAAAAAAGGUGGGGAAAUAAAUAUUGCAUAUAUGUAAAGUUUGGGUGGCCCAGUCGAAAAUGCCACAACAUACAGUCUUUGUUCAAAAGUGCUAAAGUAAGAUGACAGUAAACUAACCCUAGACAAACUACUAUAGGAGGUAUCAUCAUCAAGGAUGUAAAGUCCCCUUCUAUGUCAAGCAGUGCCAAUCGUCCUCCUCGAGCUUAUGUCCUGAAAAUAAACCGAUACAGAUAAGAAGAUAGCUUUACAAUGCAAUUCACGAGUGAUCUUGCUUAUAGAUAACAAAUUGUAAGACAGUUUAGGGACAUGCAAAACACUCUGGAGAGUAAAACCGUCAGAGGGAACUAUUUGUCCUUUGCCAGCGAUUAGAGCUAGAGAGCCAUCAGCUAUUCGAAUUUUUUCAUUACCGGUACACGGGGCAUAACAGAUAAAGUGUUUCGAAGAACCUUUCAAGUGAUCUAUAGCCCUUGAGUCUAAGAUCCAGGGAUUCUUCCCAUCAACGCUAAUAAGCCCAAGGGACUGAGGCAUACCUGACUGAGCAAUGGCACCCAGAGUCGGAGUCUUGGUCUGGCUCGCAGUAGGAUCAGUUGAUUGAGAGGUGCUGGCAGGGGUAGUCUCACUAAUGUAUGCACGUCAUGAGUUCUGUUUCUCGUUGGAGGAUCGUUUAUUACCUCUUGGGGGACGACUGUGGAGUUUCCAACACUGAUCCUUGGUGUACCAUUGUUUCUUGCAGUGCUUACACACAGGAAUUGACUUCCCAUUAUUCUUGUCACUGUCAUGAUUUGAGGACCGAGCGCUAAAGGCAGCGGAGUCAAUGGUAGGGGUAGUAGUACACCCAUGGCAUUAGUGCGAUCCUCUUCCAGGCGGACUUCAAAACAAACUUCCAUUAGGGAGGGAAGAGGUCUUUGUCCGAGUAUACGACCACAAACAGUAUCAAAUUUGGGAUUAAGUCUUGCAAGGAAGUCAUAAACACGGUCAACCUCUUCAAGUUUAGCAUAUUGAGUAUCGUCAUUUGGUGUGUCCCAAACUGUCUCUCUGCACAAAUCCAUCUCUUUCCAGAGGAGAGAGAGCUUGUUAAAAUAGGUAGUCACGUUCAGAGUCCCUUGUUUGCAAUUAUGGACCUGUUUUCGCAGUGUAUACAACCGAGAGGCAUUCUGUCGUUUCGAGUAAAGGGUUUGAGUUGUAUCCCACAAAUCUUUUGCUGUGGCAGCAGAUAGUAGAGGCUUGUCGAUCUGUGGUUCCAUACUAUUAAUCAACAUGGACCGAAUAAGUGAGUCCUCCCCUUUCCAAAGUCGUUCCAAGGCGUCUCCUGGUAGAGGACGUACAGUCCCUCCAGUUAAGAAGUCGAACUGGUGGCGACCUUCGAGGAACAUCUUUAUUGAUUGGGACCAAGAAAAAUAAUUUUGCCCAUUUAAUUUUUCACCUGAAAAAUUCUCUGUAGACGAACCCAAAGAGCCAGUUAUAUAAUUUGACAGUAAAUUAGGGAACGAAGUUAUCGGGUUCUUGGAAUACAUCGGUAACUCGGUUGGUUUGAAAUGCAUCAAAGACUCACCCGCUUCAAUGUUUGAUCUGUUCUAAGGUUGAUUAAUUCCGUUACCAGAAAACAACGGUUGUUGUAAAGAGUCAACGUACAGCGGAUGCUUACUGUACAGAUUUGAAAGAUUUACGGUUGAGGGUUGCUGUCCGGAGCUCAUAGGCGGCGCGUGAGGAUGCGAAUGCCCGGAAGGGCUUGACGGUUGGACAUCCGACGGCGCGUAAAAGGGAAUGGGCUGGGCGGUGAGAUGAAACGGCCCAUGCGCUGGAGAGAAGCGGCGCGUGAAGCAUCUUCUGGUCAGACGGUGGCUCGUACGACUGCGAAACCACUCCCGUUGGGUAGAUCGGCGGUUUCUGUAGGUUUUGAAGCAGUUUCUCCAUGGCGGCAGCGACGACAGUGACGGGUUCAAUUUCGAUCUGGGUUUCUCCUAGGGUUUUGUUAUUGCUUUGCUCUGAUACCAUAUUGAAAGCAAUUAACAACAACCCGAGACUUACGUGGAAACCAGAGAACUGGGAGAAAAACCACGAUACUUUAGUUUUUAUUAUUUUUCUUAUGAAUACAAUUGGUACAAAUAGAGAAAAUAAAUAUAGUACAAUAGGAGUAAGAAAGGAAAAGAUCUAGGAAAUAUUUAGGAAAUAAAAUCUUAUAUAUUAUUCUUUCCAAAAAUACUCUAAGGACAAAGCCCUACUAAUUCUAACAGUAGGCUUUAAGGUUUUAUUUGUGAAGAUUAUGAUUUCAUAUUUAAGUUAAUGAAAGUGUUUUACAUUCCUACAUCAUGAAGUUGCAUCCUUUAUCUUUUUAAACAUGUGUAGCCAUAUACUGCUUUAACUUUAAGUUUAAACUGUAACAAUCUAUUCUUUCAGUGCAAAUCAUACUUACGGUUGCUGAACAUCAUAGUGCCAUUGUUCCUUGGCAACUUAUAGCUGAAAGGACCGGUGUUGUUCUGAAGUUUGUAAGUUUAGGUGAACAUAAUGUCCCAAACUUACUAGAGUUAAAGGAAAUGUUUUCAACAAAAACAAAGCUUGUGGUUACCUAUCAUGUCUCAAAAUGUAUUGGGUACACCAUUCUAUUUGAUAUUUAGCAUUUUUUUAAUCUAUUUCCUUUUUAUACCAUUCAAUUUAUAAACAUUACUCAAAUAAAACAAGUAGUAGGUGAAUAUUUCAAACUGAAGUGUUAUCAUAUUACUUCAGUUAUCACACUUCUAGUGGAAAGGUUUGCAGCUGAAUAAAAACAAUAAAGUCAAAUGAAUGAAGAAUGAAAAGAACUGUCAGACAUUUUUCCUUCUCUUGAUCUGUGUCCAGUUACUCUUGAUAUCUUUCUAAUAAUAACUAUAUGCAAAUAGUGGAAUUCAGUAUGAUUUGAUUUUUUUCUCUGCAACUUAUGUUCUUCCAAUUGAAGAAAUAGUUGGCUUAGCACAUCAUUUUGGGGCAAAAGUGCUUGUAGAUUCGUGCUAGAGUGUUCUACACAUAGUUGUCGACAUCUAGGCACUUGAUGCUGACUUUCUUAUUGCUUCUUCUCACAAGGUUAGGUUGUUUUCUUAUUAAUUAAAUGGCAAGCCUUACAUUUGGGCAUAUGAAGAUAAGGAAUAAACAUGCUUCAGAUGUGUGGGCCUACAGGCAUUGGAUUCUUGUAGAUUGAUCUAUUGUUUGCAAUGCCUCCAUUCUUAGAUGGUGGAGAUUUCUUGACCAUUCCACAUUUGCACAACCUCGUUCCAGAUUUGAAGCUGGGACGCCUACAAUUGGAGAAGCAAUUGGUUUGGGGAGCUGCUAUUGAUUAUCUAUCUAGGAUCGAAAUGCAAAAAAUUCAUAGUUACGAAGUGAGUUGAUUGAAAUUUGGUAUAUACCCUUUGUUUGAGAAUUUUUGGGCGGUGAAAAAUGCGUGAAGCAACUAAAUCAGGGUAUCAACUAAAUAAAUACCUUCAUAGAAGAAUUGGCGAAUUAUCUAUAUGAAAACCUUCGUGCAGUCCCUAACAUUCGAAUAUAUGGCCCAGCUCAAUUUAGACUUUAGUGUAUUUAUAAAUUAUUUAAUUAAGCAACGGUUUCAUGGACUACAUUUUUUCUACAUAAUUAUCGAUGUAUACAUUGUUGACACUUACCUGCCUUUGUUUUUUUUCAAU